AACGAACGCUGGCGGCAUGCCUAACACAUGCAAGUCGAACGAGACCUUCGGGUCUAGUGGCGCACGGGUGCGUAACGCGUGGGAACCUGCCCUUAGGUUCGGAAUAACUCCCCGAAAGGGGUGCUAAUACCGGAUAAUGUCUUCGGACCAAAGAUUUAUCGCCUUUGGAUGGGCCCGCGUUGGAUUAGCUAGUUGGUAGGGUAAAAGCCUACCAAGGCGACGAUCCAUAGCUGGUCUGAGAGGAUGAUCAGCCACACUGGGACUGAGACACGGCCCAGACUCCUACGGGAGGCAGCAGUGGGGAAUAUUGGACAAUGGGCGAAAGCCUGAGCCAGCAAUGCCGCGUGAGUGAUGAAGGCCUUAGGGUUGUAAAGCUCUUUUACCCGGGAUGAUAAUGGCAGUACCGGGAGAAUAAGCGCCGGCUAACUCCGUG
rnacentral:rRNA from 1 species